GAUGAAGAACGUAGUGAAAUGCGAUAAGUAAUGUGAAUUGCAGAAUUCAGUGAAUCAUCGAAUCUUUGAACGCACCUUGCACUCCUUGGUAUUCCGAGGAGUACGCCUGUUCGAGUGUUAUGAAGCUCUCAAAACGCAAUUGGCUUAAAACCUGAUUGUAGUUUUGGAUUUGAACUUUGCCGUGUUAUAACGGCUGGUUUUAAAAGUAUUAGCUGGUACUAGAACGAAUUGGUUCUACUCAACGUGAUAAUUAUCUGAUCGUUGAGGACAUUCCUUUCACGAGGAAUGGCCAUAGUAAAUUCAAUGGACUGCUUCUAAUCUGGCUUUAAUUCUUUAUUGGAUUAACCACUUUUCAAAUCUGACCUCGAAUCAGGUGGGACUACCCGCUGAACUUAAGCAUAUCAAUAAGCGGAGGA
rnacentral:misc_RNA from 1 species